rnacentral:rRNA from 1 species
CCUUGGCUCAGGAUGAACGCUGGCGGCGUGCUUAACACAUGCAAGUCGAACGAACCUUCGGGUUAGUGGCGGACGGGUGAGUAACGCGUGAGAAUCUGCCCUCAGGAGGGGGACAACAGUUGGAAACGACUGCUAAUACCCCAUAUGCCGCGAGGUGAAAUGAAUUUCGCCUGAGGAUGAGCUCGCGUCUGAUUAGCUAGUUGGUGUAGGUAAUGGCUCACCAAGGCAUCGAUCAGUAGCUGGUCUGAGAGGAUGAUCAGCCACACUGGGACUGAGACACGGCCCAGACUCCUACGGGAGGCAGCAGUGGGGAAUUUUCCGCAAUGGGCGAAAGCCUGACGGAGCAACGCCGCGUGAGGGAUGAAGGCCUCUGGGCUGUAAACCUCUUUUAUCAAGGAAGAAGAUCUGACGGUACUUGAUGAAUAAGCCACGGCUAAUUCCGUG